rnacentral:rRNA from 1 species
GUAGGGUGCGAGCGUUGUCCGGAAUUAUUGGGCGUAAAGAGCUCGUAGGCGGUGUGUCGCGUCGGCCGUGAAAACCUGGGGCUCAACUCUGGGCGUGCGGUCGAUACGGGCAUCACUUGAGUUCGGCAGGGGAGACUGGAAUUCCUGGUGUAGCGGUGAAAUGCGCAGAUAUCAGGAGGAACACCGGUGGCGAAGGCGGGUCUCUGGGCCGAUACUGACGCUGAGGAGCGAAAGCAUGGGUAGCGAACAGGAUUAGAUACCCUGGUAGUCCAUGCCGUAAACGUUGGCCGCUAGGUGUGGGGUUCAUUCCACGGAUUCCGUGCCGCAGCUAACGCAUUAAGCGCCCCGCCUGGGGAGUACGGCCGCAAGGCUA